GAAAGUAGAGCUGAUUAGAAGGUGGAGGGAUUUAAACAAUAGUCGGCUGAUGAACCAACACUGGAACUGGUUGGUGAUUUAGUUGAACUUGAAGAAAUUGUUGAGGAAGCAGAAGGUGAUGAGGAAGGAGCGACACCAAUAAGAGACUGUCAAGAAAAAGAAAAAGAAGAAGAAAUAAAAGAAGAAGAAGAAGAAAAGUUGAAAAAUGAAAAACAAAAAGAGAAGGUUGUUGAGAUUGCGAAGAA
rnacentral:lncRNA from 1 species